GGGACUGAAAGGAUUUCUACAUUUUAAUAUCUUAUUGAAUUUUUUAAUUAAUUUGUUAAUAUUAUUUAUUUUAUUAAUAAUAUAACUGCAAAGCAUAAUAUUGUAUCUUUUUCUAGAAACCUAGUUACUGCUUAGUUUUUAGAGUUUAAAAUUAUACUUCUUUAUUUAUUUUAAUAAUUCAUAUUUGAAUGCACUAACUAGAAAAUUAAAUUCAUAUAAGCAUUCUAUUUAGUAAAGUAAAAUUUGUUUACAAAAUGUCUUCAAUUUAAAAGUUAAUUAAUGACAGGUUUUAUUAGCUAUUAAAAUGGACGUGGGUUCAAGUCCCACCAGUUCCA
rnacentral:tmRNA from 1 species